rnacentral:rRNA from 1 species
ACAAUGGAGAGUUUGAUCCUGGCUCAGGAUGAACGCUAGCUACAGGCUUAACACAUGCAAGUCGAGGGGCAGCGUGUACAGGUGCUUGCACCAGUAUGACGGCGACCGGCGCACGGGUGAGUAACGCGUAUCCAACCUGCCAUAUACUCGGGUAUAGCCCGGUGAAAACCGAAUUAACCCCCGAUAGUGUCCUUUGCAGGCAUCUAAUUAGGACUAAAGUUUACGGUAUAUGAUGGGGAUGCGUCUGAUUAGCUUGUUGGCGGGGUAACGGCCCACCAAGGC